AGUGUUAUCCGGAAUCACUGGGCGUAAAGCGUCUGUAGGUGGUUUAAUAAGUCGGCUGUUAAAUCUUGAGGCUUAACUUCAAAACUGCAGUUGAAACUAUUAAACUAGAGUAUAGUAGGGGUAAAGGGAAUUUCCAGUGGAGCGGUGAAAUGCGUAGAUAUUGGAAAGAACACCGAUGGCGAAGGCACUUUACUGGGCUAUUACUGACACUCAGAGACGAAAGCUAGGGUAGCAAAUGGGAUUAGAUACCCCAGUAGUCCUAGCCGUAAACAAUGGAUACUAGAUGUUGAACAGAUCGACCUGUGCAGUAUUAAAGCUAACGCGUUAAGUAUCCCGCCUGGGAAGUAUGCUCGCAAGAGUGAAACUCAAAGGAGUUGACGGGGGCCCGCACAAGCGGUGGAGCAUGUGGUUUAAUUCGAUGCAACGCGAAGAACCUUACCAGGGUUUGACAUGAUACGAAUUUCUUUGAAAAAAGAAAGUGCCGUUUGGAACGUAUACACAGGUGGUGCAUGGCUGUCGUCAGCUCGUGUCGUGAGAUGUUGGGUUAAGUCCCGCAACGAGCGCAACCCUUGUUUUUAGUUGCCUUUAUGGAACUCUAGAAAGACUGCCGGUUAUAAACCGGAGGAAGGCGGGGACGACGUCAAGUCAGCAUGCCCCUUACACCCUGGGCUACACACGUGCUACAUUGGGCGAGACAAUGAGAUGCGACUCUGCGAAGAUUAGCUAAUCUAU
rnacentral:rRNA from 1 species